AAACCGGAUUGCGGGCCCCGCCCCGGACCCCGAGCUCCCGGUCGCUCAUCCUGUUGCUCAGAUGUACUGCCCUCACUUAGGGAAUCGUCAUCCCCUUCAUCUGGGUCAUCCUCAUCUUCACCCCCACUUCCCUAGAGGACAAGGAGAGAAGUCUCAUUGAAAUGCAGGACAAAUCAGUUACUGGACCACAAGAUCAUCUUCCAUUGACCAGAGAUCUGAAUCAAAAAGACCUGCAGUUUCACAGAGGAGAAGAUAAGCAAUGAGUGGCAGCAGGUGUUGUUAUGACAUGCUCCUGCCUCCUGCCCAGCACACUCUCACCCUGACGUCUGCAUAGCUGGCUCUCCUGCUUCCUUUGGGUUGUUACCUGUCAGAAGGGACUUCCCCAGCCACUCGUAUGAACAGCACCCCCCUGCUAGCCUUCCUCACUCUCCUACUUUGCUUACUUCGCUUCAUCUUCCUCCAUGGUACUUCUAUUUGUUCACUUGUUUAUUAUCUGUCUCCCACAUUAAGAUGUAAACUCAAUGAGGACAAGAAUUUUUUUCUUUACAUUUGUAACCCAGUGCUAGGACAGUGACAGCAUACAGUGGACCCAUAAUAAAUACCUGCAGAUUGUAUAAACAUCACAUUAGAUGCAACAGUUAAUUUAUAUAUACACUGUACAUAAAAGUUGGCAAACUAGGGCCUGUAAGCCAAAUGUGCCCCAUGGCCUGUUUUGGUAUGGCGCACAAGCUAAAAAAUGGUGCUUACAUUUUCAAAAGUGUUCUUUUAAAAAAUUAAAAUAAAACAAAACAAAAAGAAUAUGCAAAAGAGAUCAUAUGACUCACAGCCUAAAAUAUUAUUAUCUGGCCCUUUACAGAAAAAGUCUGUGUACCUCUGCUAUAUCUGAACGUCUGCAAAAUAAGAACCUUCCAGGAUACGAGAUAUGGUCAGCUGCUGGAG